rnacentral:lncRNA from 1 species
AAUUUUAUUUGUUUAUAUGAAUUUUUGUGCUUUUUUUUACAUAUUUAUUUGUUUUCAUAGUAAUUGACAUUAUAACACAAUAUUGAAUGCUGUACUUUUAUUUUUGACAUUUUAACCUAUUAUGUUAUUGUUUUGUUCACACAUCAUUAUCAAUAUAAUUGAAUUUCAUGCAACUGUCAUACAAGUGAGAGGUUUAGCUAGCUAUAAAACCAGGUUAAAUACACCCUUUUUUACUUUAGAAAAUACUUGUACAGAGUCAGGAAUAUGACAGUUAUUAUCCAUUCGUUUGAUGUGUUUGUGCUUUUGAUGUGCCAUUUGAUUAGAGACUUUUCGUUUUGAAUUUUCCUCGGAAUUCAGUAUUUUUAUGUUUUACUUCUUUUAUACACGAUACCACCUAAUACACACGACACACGUAUCGGGAACUACCUUAAUCAAGUUUGUCUGAGACCAAACGCUGGUGAUGCCAAAUAAAUAUACCACAUAAUACACACGACACACGUAUCGGGAACUACCUUAAUCAAGUUUGUCUGAGACCAAACGCUGGUGAUACCAAAUAAAUAUUUUGUCUGAGACCAAACGCUGGUGAUGCCAAAUAAAUAAUUUGUCUGAGACCAAACGCUGGUGAUGCCAAAUAAAUAUUUUGUAUGAGACCAGAUGCUGGUGAUGCCAAAUAAAUAUUUUGUCUGAGACCAAACGCUGGUGGUGCCUAAUAAAUAUUUUGUCUGAGACCAAACGCUGAUGAAGCCAAAUAAAUAUUUUGUCUGAGACCAGACGCUGGUGAUGCCAAAUAAAUAUAUUUUGUCUGAGACCAAACGCUGGUGAUGCCAAAUAAAUAUUUUGUCUGAGACCACGCUGGUGAUGCCAAAUAAAUAUUUUGUCUGAGACCAAACGCUGGUGAUGCUAAAUAAAUAUUUUGUCUGAGACCAAACGCUGGUAAUGCCAAAUAAAUAUUUUGUCUGAGACCAAACGCUGGUGAUGCCAAAUAAAUAUUUUGUCUGAGACCAAACGCUGGUGAUGCCAAAUAAAUAUUUUGUCCGAGACCAAACGCUGGUAAUGCCAAAUAAAUAUUUUGUCUGAGACCAAACGCUGGUGAUUCCAAAUAAAUAUUUUAGCCAUAGAGUAUUUAAUCCAAAGUGAAUCAUAGAAAACCUAAAUUCGCAUUAUUUUCUAAGGAAGUUUUUAUCAAAGGCGUAGGUCCGGUAAGGGCCGAUUUUGGCCUCAAAUUUCAGGUUCAUCUAACGAAAUAUUUUGGACACUUUUUAAACACUUAAGUGUCUAUUUCAAUUGAUUCAAUUAGUUUAUUUGAAAGAUUUUAAACGGUUAAGUCAUUAAAAAUGCUCAGAUUCAAGCUUAAAUAUGAAAAAU